GAAUCGGAAUCGAGUUUGCCAUCCCUAGUCCGGCUUUUAGGACAAACAAUAGUUGCCGAUAUCAUUGUAUAAUCCUAGAUUUCGACAAUGGCCGAUAUACGAUAAUAGAAUUGGGCAAACAAUAUAAACAAGUUAUUGUAAUUAAUUUGUUAUUUGCGCUUUGUAAGCGCAAUGUAUUCUUCUGCCAAAAAGUUACAACGAGUGUUAUCCUCACAGGAAAUCCGUAAGACAUUCAUUGACUAUUUUAAAAUAAACCAUGACCAUAAAUUUGUGCGGUCCAGUCCGGUAGUGCCAUUCUGUGACCCGACCGUGGCAUUCGUUAACGCUGGUAUGAAUCAAUUCAAGUCAGUUUUCCUGGGUAAAGCUCAACCGCCUUAUCCCCGAGUAACCAAUUCGCAAAAAUGUGUUCGAGUUGGUGGUAAACACAAUGAUCUUUCUAUUGUCGGCCAGGAUAGCUAUCAUCAUACUUUUUUUGAAAUGUUAGGAAAUUGGUCUUUUGGAGAUUAUUUUAAGCGUGAAGCCUGUGAACUAGCCCUAGAACUUUUACGUGGUCCGUAUAACAUCGAUCCAAGUAGAUUAUAUGUAACAUAUUUUGCAGGCGAUAAGAUACUUGGUUUGCCAGCGGAUUUGGAAUGUUACGAAAUAUGGCGUAGUUUAGGUUUUCCCGUUGAAAGAAUAUUACCAUUUGGUUGUAACGAAAAUUUUUGGGAAAUGGGUGCGACUGGCCCAUGUGGUCCCUGUACAGAAAUUCAUAUCGAUCAUUGUCCAACAAAAGGUCAUGAACGGGCGAAGUUCGUUAACACUGACAGAUCAGAUUUAACCGAAUUGUGGAAUUUGGUUUUCAUACAAUACUAUCGAAACGAAAAUGGAUCUGUAACACAAUUACCCGCACAACAUGUAGAUACAGGCAUGGGAUUCGAAAGACUAACUGCCAUUUUACAAAAUAAAUCAUCCAACUACGAUACAGAUCUUUUCAUGCCAAUUUUCAACGCCAUUCAAAAAAUAACACACGCACCCCAUUAUGGUAGUAAAUUCCCAACCCCACUAGAAGACGCUACACUGGACACUGGAUAUAGAAUUCUAGCAGAUCAUACUCGUAUGAUAUCGAUUUGUUUAGGUGAUGGAAUGUUACCGGAUCAAAACCAAAAACUACGACGGGUUUUACGCAAAGCAUUUACCAUAAGUGAAAAUAUAUUUAAAUAUGAGGAGUUGGUAUCACAACUUAUUCCUUUAGUAAUAGAUACAAUAGGUAUGGCGUAUCCGGAAUUGUAUAAUAAGCAGAGUUCCAUACUCGAGUUAAUAGCUCAUGAACGCGAAAUAUUCAAGGCAUUGCGAGAAAGCUCUUCGAGGGCAUUUGCUGAGAUCCUAGUGAAAUACCCCAACCUGGAAGAAGUUGAUUUAAUGGAAUGUCCCGGCUUUGUGUCAGCUUAUCGAGAUUUUCAAAUUCAACGGGAAACAUUUAAUAACAAUAUAUUACCCGGUAAAUUUCUGUUCAAACUUACGGAUACUUACGGUUUAACUGAGGAAAAUUUCAAAAGACUUGCUGAAUUAGAGAAUAUGGAAUGUGAUUUCAAUGGUUACUUGAAGGAAAUAGCGAAAGCAAAGCUAAGAUCCAAAGCUUACUUAAACGAUGGUGGCAGUGAAAACAAGCUAGAAAAUCAACAUCAGAUAAACGAAGCACUCCUACUUCUUACGCAGAAACUGAAUUACACAGAUAAUAGUACGAAAUAUAAUUAUAGUUAUGAUAUAGAUAAAAAACGGUAUAAUAUUCCUUGUGUUUCGGCCCGAGUUACUGGUAUGGUAUUUCAAGGCAAAGAAUCAAACACAGUGUUAUUGAAUAACUCACAAUCCGAAUUAUUAUAUGUGGCGACAGACAUCACAAACUUUUAUCAUGAGUCUGGUGGACAGCAAGCUGAUAUUGGCACCAUGCUUUUAACAUCUGAAACAAAUGGCGAAAUACUUGAGUUGCCUGUCAGAGAAGUUAAAGCUAUGAAUAAUUGUAUUAUACAUGUAUGUGAUUUGUCGAAUGUUGAAAAGGAUUUUAUAUUGAAAACAGAUGCUCAUAUAAAGCUCUUAGUAGAUGCUAAUCGCCGUCAGCUGACAACAUGUCAUCACACAGCAAUCCAUUUGUUAAAUGCUGCCAUCCGUUCGCUGUUCAAAAAGGUCACGUAUCAAGUCUCCAGUGCCGUUACGACUGAUAACUUCAAGCUUGAAGUAGGUCUAAUUGGUAAACGCAUUAAAAAGGAGGAUAUUACACAGCUGGAAGACAUGAUUGUAGGUACCAUAAACUCAAAAGUGCCAGUGGAUGUGAAGAUCAUAAACGCCAGUGACGUAUUACAACAGGACGAUAUUACAAUGGUACCUGGGGAAAUAUAUCCUGAGUCUGGACUACGAUUGAUAAGCAUAAAAUGUGAGAACCCUCAAUUGUUUUCCAAGGAGUUGUGUUGCGGAACUCAUGUGACAAAUACACAAGAAAUAGAAUAUUUUUGCAUCACGAACCUUAGACAAACGAAUCGUGCACGAUUUUCUUUUACAGCAGUUGCAGGAGGACCCGCAGAAAAUUCGUGUUUUAUAGGCAUUAAGAAUAGCAGCUCUCUUACAACACCGCGUAGACAUGCUUGAUGAACAGUUUAAGACUGAUAAAGUUACAAAUGCCACUGAGAUUGAACUGCAAAAGAUACGCCACAAUUUGAUACAUAUGGAAGUUGCGUUACCAUACGUUUUUAAGCUUAACACCAUAGCACGCAUUAAUGACAUGCUCAAAAAGCUUAAGGAAACAACCCGGACAACUUUAAAAGAAUUUGUCGAGGUCGAAAUGAGAACGUUAUUACAAGAAAAAUCUAUUAAAAGUCAUCCCUUCAUUGUGCAUUACAUCACAAGCUCAGCACUGGUCGAGGAGGUGCCACUGCAAAGGGCUACAAAACUUUGUACCGACCGUCCGAUACUUGUAGCUAGCAUGUGUGAUAGCAUCGUUAAAGCGCGUUGUUGUGUGCCCAAGAAAUUUGUCAGCGAUCAUUUUGAUGCCGAACAAUGGCUAAAUGAAUUCGCAGUGGUUUUUAAAUCGCAAGUUUCAGCACCAAAGGGUCAAAACUCUGCAGAAGUAUGCAACAUGAAAGGCAGAAAAGUGUCCACUUUAUUCGAAGAACAGUUAGAGGAAGCCAUCGCCAGGGCACAGACUUUCGCCUCUCAACACCUUUUGUUGUGAUUUUAGCUUUACAAACUCAAAAAAAAAAACACACUUCAGUAAAAAAAUUACAUGUGCAAA